rnacentral:lncRNA from 1 species
UGUUACUUUCUGUGUGCUUUGAUAUCUAUCAGUUUAUCAAAACGGUACAUAUUUUUAUAAAACUAGUUAAUGAUUCGACCACUCUUACCCAACCUUUUACUCCUAGACAAAAAAUAAACCAAUAAGAGCUACCUUAAAAUUCACACGAUAAUUAUUUAUGCAGAUUUCUUUUAAAUUAUUUAGAGACAGUUAAAAGGGACAGUCUAGCCAGC